rnacentral:rRNA from 1 species
UACGUAGGGUGCAAGCGUUGUCCGGAAUUAUUGGGCGUAAAGAGCUCGUAGGCGGUUUGUCGCGUCUGCUGUGAAAACUCGGGGCUCAACUCCGAGCUUGCAGUGGGUACGGGCAGACUAGAGUGCGGUAGGGGAGACUGGAAUUCCUGGUGUAGCGGUGGAAUGCGCAGAUAUCAGGAGGAACACCGGUGGCGAAGGCGGGUCUCUGGGCCGUAACUGACGCUGAGGAGCGAAAGUGUGGGGAGCGAACAGG